rnacentral:misc_RNA from 1 species
UGUCCGGUUUCCUGUGUUGGCUACCUUUAAAGGAAUGCUUUAUCUCGUUGUCCCUUUCCUUCGUUGCUUCCCUUUUGGGUUGCAACGGGGACCCGGAAGCAAUCCCUGUGUCCCAUGUAGUCCUCGGCAUUUUGCUGUGGCUGCUGUGGUCCAUAGGUGCUUUGCUUGAUCUGUCGGAUGCGGAACAGUACAUAAGAGUGGGAGUCAAUGACCCUUGAUAGCUCAAAAUCGUCCCUUUGACACGGAAGACGUUUGCAACUGUGCCGACCUCUGCCCUCGGGCUUUGAGUGGCGUGCACAGAUUGCGAUGUCUCGAAGGAAUGCUACCUGGUUGA